rnacentral:snRNA from 1 species
AUACUUACCACUAGUCGCUGCGUGCUGAUAUGUGGUUUUAUAAUAAAUUCACUACGGCCGGCGGCUCAAGCGGAGGCCGGCCACUGCACUGCGGUUGGCUGAAGCUUGCCACUUCCCCAAACUGGCGCAGAUGGGGCAUGCAAUUUUUAGUAAUGGGGUCAGACGUGAGCGCCGGCCUCUC